rnacentral:rRNA from 1 species
UACAGAGGGGGCCAGCGUUAUUCGGAAUUAUUGGGCGUAAAGGGCGCGUAGGCGGCCAUGCGUGUCUUCCGUGAAAUCCCUCGGCUUAACCGAGGACGUGCGGAAGAAACUGCAAGGCUCGAGUCCGGAAGAGGGGGGCGGAAUUCCCAGUGUAGCGGUGAAAUGCGUAGAUAUUGGGAGGAACACCAGUGGCGAAGGCGGCUAUCUGGGCUGAAACUGACGCUGAGGCGCGAAGGCUAGGGGAGCAAACAGG